rnacentral:lncRNA from 1 species
UAUUUUUGUUCGCGGCAGUGCCAGCGGCCUAUUUUUGGCACACGGAGGACCUUCCCAAAGUCUGGCCCCAUUCCGAGUCCGGCGGACAAACAUGGCCAGCCCCUCCCUCCAAGGCUAUAGCCCACCCAUUUUUGUGGCCUCUUUCCGCUGGACGAACUUGGCGCCCCGGCCUUCGGGCUGUUAUUUUUGGUUGCGGCUGUGCCCGCGGCCUAUUUUUGGCACACGGAGGCCGCUCGCAAAGUCUCGCGCCAUUCCGAGUCCGGCGGACGAAGUUGGCCAGCCCCACCCCCAAAGGCUAUAGCCCACCCGUUUUUGUCGCCUCUUUCCGCUGGACGAACUUGGCGCCCCGGCCUUCGGGCGUUUAUUUUUGGGCGCGGCUGUGCCCGCGGCCUAUUUUUAGCACACGGAGGCCGCUCGCAAAGUCUCGCGCCAUUACGAGUCGGGCGGACGAAGUUGGCCAGCCCCACCCCCCAAGGCUAUAGCCCACCCGUUUUUAUUGCCUUUUUCCGCUGGACGAACUUGGCGCCCGGCCUUCGGGCGGUUAUUUUUGGGCGCGGCUUUGCCCGCGGCCUAUUUUUGGCACACGGAGGCCGCUCGUAAAGUCUCACGCCAUUCCGAGUCCGGCGGACGAAGUUUGCCAGCCCCACCCCCCAAGGCUAUAGCCCACCCGUUUUUGUGGCCUUUUUCCGCUGGACGAACUUGGCGCCCAGGCCUUCGGCGGUCAAUUUUGCGCGCGGCAGUGCCCGCGGCCUAUUUUUGGCACACGGAGGCCCCUCGCAAAGUCUCGCGGCAUUCCGAGUCCGGCGGACGAACUUGGCCAGCCCCUCCCCAAGGCUAUAGCCCACCCGUUUUUUGGGCAUCUUUGCGGCGGACGAACUUGCGGACGGGACCUUCCGGCGCUUAUUUUUGUGCGCGGCUGUGCCCGCGGCCUAUUUUUGGGACACGGAGGCCCCUCACAAAAUCUGGCCCCAUUCCGAGUCCGGCGGACGAACUUGGCCAGCCCCUCCCCCCAAGGCUAUAGCCCACCCAUUUUUUGGGCAUUUUUGCGGCGGACGAACUUGGGGACGGGUCCUCGGGCGCUUAUUUUUGGGCGCGGAAGUGCCCGCGGCCUAUUUUUGGCACACGGAGGCCCCUCGUAAAGUCUGGCCCCAUUCCGAGUCCGGCGGACGAACUUGCCCAGCCCCUCCCCCCAAGGCUAUAGCCGACCCGUUUUUUGGGCAUUUUUGCGGCGGACGAACUUGGGGACGGGACCUUUGGGCGCUUAUUUUUGGGCUUGGCAGUGCCCACGGUCUAUUUUUGGCACACGGAGGCCCCUCGCUUAGUCUGGCCCCAUUCCGACUCCGGCG